rnacentral:rRNA from 1 species
GACGAACGCUGGCGGCGUGCUUAACACAUGCAAGUCGAGCGGUAAGGCCCUUUCGGGGGUACGACGAGCGGCGAACGGGUGAGUAACACGUGGGUGACCUGCCCUCAGCUCUGGGAUAAGCCUGGGAAACCGGGUCUAAUACUGGAUAUGACUCCAUGACGCAUGUUGUGGGGUGGAAAGCCUUGUGCGGCUGAGGAUGGGCCCGCGGCCUAUCAGCUUGUUGGUGGGGNGAUGGCCUACCAAGGCGACGACGGGUAGCCGGCCUGAGAGGGCGACCGGCCACACUGGACUGAGACACGGCCCAGACUCCUACGGGAGGCAGCAGUGGGGAAGUCUUGCGCAAUGGGCGAAAGCCUGACGCAGCGACGCCGCGUGAGGGAUGACGGCCU